rnacentral:rRNA from 1 species
UCGAGGCUGAAAAGCGUAGUCGAUGGGAAACAGGUUAAUAUUCCUGUACUUCUGGUUACUGCGAUGGAGGGACGGAGAAGGCUAGGCCAGCUUGGCGUUGGUUGUCCAAGUUUAAGGUGGUAGGCUGAAAUCUUAGGUAAAUCCGGGGUUUCAAGGCCGAGAGCUGAUGACGAGUCGUCUUUUAGAUGACGAAGUGGUUGAUGCCAUGCUUCCAAGAAAAGCUUCUAAGCUUCAGGUAACCAGGAACCGUACCCCAAACCGACACAGGUGGUCGGGUAGAGAAUACCAAGGCGCUUGAGAGAACUCGGGUGAAGGAACUAGGCAAAAUGGCACCGUAACUUCGGGAGAAGGUGCGCCGGCUAGGGUGAAGGAUUUACUCCGUAAGCUCUGGCUGGUCGAAGAUACCAGGCCGCUGCGACUGUUUAUUAAAAACACAGCACUCUGCAAACACGAAAGUGGACGUAUAGGGUGUGACGCCUGCCCGGUGCCGGAAGGUUAAUUGAUGGGGUUAGCGCAAGCGAAGCUCUUGAUCGAAGCCCCGGUAAACGGCGGCCGUAACGAUAACGGUCCUAAGGUAGCGAAAUUCCUUGUCGGGUAAGUUCCGACCUGCACGAAUGGCGUAACGAUGGCGGCGCUGUCUCCACCCGAGACUCAGUGAAAUUGAAAUCGCUGUGAAGAUGCAGUGUAUCCGCGGCUAGACGGAAAGACCCCGUGAACCUUUACUGUAGCUUUGCACUGGACUUUGAGCCUGCUUGUGUAGGAUAGGUGGGAGGCUUUGAAGCGUGGACGCCAGUUCGCGUGGAGCCAUCCUUGAAAUACCACCCUGGCAUGCUUGAGGUUCUAACUCUGGUCCGUAAUCCGGAUCGAGGACAGUGUAUGGUGGGCAGUUUGACUGGGGCGGUCUCCUCCUAAAGAGUAACGGAGGAGUACGAAGGUGCGCUCAGACCGGUCGGAAAUCGGUCGCAGAGUAUAAAGGCAAAAGCGCGCUUGACUGCGAGACAGACACGUCGAGCAGGUACGAAAGUAGGUCUUAGUGAUCCGGUGGUUCUGUAUGGAAGGGCCAUCGCUCAACGGAUAAAAGGUACUCCGGGGAUAACAGGCUGAUACCGCCCAAGAGCUCAUAUCGACGGCGGUGUUUGGCACCUCGAUGCCGGCUCAUCACAUCCUGGGGCUGAAGCCGGUCCCAAGGGUAUGGCUGUUCGCCAUUUAAAGUGGUACGCGAGCUGGGUUUAGAACGUCGUGAGACAGUUCGGUCCCUAUCUGCCGUGGACGUUUGAGAUUUGAGAGGGGCUGCUCCUAGUACGAGAGGACCGGAGUGGACGAACCUCUGGUGUUCCGGUUGUCACGCCAGUGGCAUUGCCGGGUAGCUAUGUUCGGAAAAGAUAACCGCUGAAAGCAUCUAAGCGGGAAACUUGCCUCAAGAUGAGAUCUCACUGGGAACUUGAUUCCCCUGAAGGGCCGUCGAAGACUACGACGUUGAUAGGCUGGGUGUGUAAGCGUUGUGAGGCGUUGAGCUAACCAGUACUAAUUGCCCGUGAGGCUUGACC